UCCUUAGUAGCUCAGUGGUAGAGCGUUCGACUGUUAAUCGAUUGGUCGUAGGUUCGAAUCCUACCUAAGGAG
rnacentral:tRNA from 1 species